rnacentral:rRNA from 1 species
GACAGAGGGUGCAAACGUUGCUCGGAAUGACUGGGCGUAAAGGGCGCGUAGGCGGAUGGCACAAGUCAGAUGUGAAAUUCCCGGGCUUAACCUGGGGGCUGCAUUUGAUACGUGUUGUCUAGAGUGAGGAAGAGGGUUGUGGAAUUCCCAGUGUAGAGGUGAAAAUUCGUAGAUAUUGGGAAGAACACCGGUGGCGAAGGCGGCAACCUGGUCCUUGACUGACGCUG